rnacentral:rRNA from 1 species
UACGUAGGGGGCGAGCGUUGUCCGGAUUCAUUGGGCGUAAAGCGCGCGUAGGCGGCUUCGCAAGUCGGCCGUGAAAUCUCCGGGCUCAACUCGGAGGGGUCGGGCGAGACUGCGAGGCUCGAGGUGGGCAGAGGGCAGUGGAAUUCCGGGUGUAGUGGUGGAAGUGCGUAGAGAGUCCGGAGGAACACCAGUGGCGAAGGCGGCUGCCUGGGCCUGGCCUGACGCUGAGGCGGCGAAAGCGUGGGGAGCAAUCCGG